GUGCUUGCUUCGGCAGCACACUUACUAAAACGGUGGGGAUACAGAGAAGACUCACACGACCCUGCGUAAGGAUGACACGCAAAUUCACAGAGUUCUGUAUUUUU
ensembl:snRNA U6 U6 spliceosomal RNA